GUUAACUAUUAAAAUCAAUGUAUAUAAUAAAUAAACCUCUCAGUCUUCUCUCUCUGGCCCUGGUUCUAACUUCCUAGGGUUCAGGAGGCAGGAACUAAAGAGCGGCCGGUAUUUAUGUACUGCACAUCUGGCACUACACUUAUCUCCCUUUCCCUCCCUCCCUCCCUCCUCACUUGCCUUGGAUUAAUGAUGACACAAAGACUCCCCCGUACCCACUCCUCAUCGGUUUGGAGAACAUCCUUGAAGUAAUUGACUUCUGAAUGCCCGUUUAUAUGUAAUCCUUUGUGCCUAGUCAUUCUGGGACAGAAAUAAAAGCCCCCUGUGAACAUUUCUGUUGCAACCUGUGCCUGGGUGCUGGAGCUCGGACCCUUUCCCACUACCUUAACCCAUGGAAAGGGCCAAACUGCAGCCAUGGACUUCCCAGCAAUGGGGAGAGGCCAGUGACCCUCCAGGUCAGCCUGACUGACUGGGCGGGCAAGCUAAUGAGGGAAUCAAGAGGCCAGGGAGGUCUUGUCCUCCCUGUGAUCUGGAAUGCCUGGAACAGAGGGGGGCCUAGCCAGGAGAGAGCCGAAGCCUGAGCUGAGCUGGGGAGCAGGGCCAUGCUGCCAGAGAGAACCAGAGGAGCAGCUCAGGAAGCAGACCUGUGCUGGGAGCAGAGCCACAGAAGCAGCCCACGGAACAGACCUGUCCUGAGAGGAGAGCUGCAGCAACCAGAGCCAGAGGGGCCAGAGAUGCAGCCCAGGGAGCUGGAGGCAGAGCAGCAGCAGUGCUGAGGCUGGCGCUGGAGGCUCGAAGCAGUCCAGAGCCAGAGCCUGCACAUGCUGCCACCACUGCUCCAUGCCAGCCCAGGAGAUGGGAGAGACAAGGGGGCCACUUCAGAGCUGUCCCCACAGGUGUCCUGGGUUAUCAGUAUGAUGCAUUGCUGCUUUGUUGGGGAACAUCCUUGAAAUCUAUCACAGUGCUUGAUGUGGUGUUAUUCCUGGGCUUUAUCUAUGUGGUUGAGUGUCUUCCAGCAAGGUUUGUUAUCACUGGAACACAGAGAAAGUCCCCCAAGUGAAGGACUCUAGAGUAUCAGUGCAGACAUAUUUAUCUCAGAGACAACUUCAGGUCUUAACAGGACAAGAUUAGUAGAUGGAUUUUCCCUUCUGCCUGUUAAAUCAAUCUAAAAGUGGGAUGUUGCACGAAGUCACUUGUCAACGUAAUGGCUCCUCCCAGCAGCUACAUGAAACAUUGGAAUAUGCCAAGUGUAAUUUAAAAAUAAAAGAGUAAUAAGUGAUUUGCAAUGCCAGAUCAGACCCAUUGUCCAUGAAAUCCAGUGGCCUAUGCUUGAAAUCUCAAAUGAUCAAUAAAAGUCCCUCACAAUGUGCCUGGCCAAUUCUGUAAUGGUGCGACCUUCCUCCUGAGCACAGCGGUGAUCAGUUUAUGUCCUGAAGCAUCAGAUUAAAAUUUGCUUACUCAUUUCUUAACAUGCAUAACUACAUAAAUGUCUAGUAUUAAAAUACUUAUAGGCUUUUCAGAGGCACUAAUCACUGUAGCAUUUGAGCAGCUCACACUUAUUAAUGAAAUAAGCUUCCUUUCCCCCAUCCUCAUGCUUGAAGUAAGGACAUAAGAAUAAUAAUUAAUAGUAUUCAAUUAGCACCUAUAGGCCCUACUCACUGUUUGGGCCCCCACUGCCCGGGUACUUAUAUGCUAAAUAGUCAAGACAGACAAAGGGCUGUAGAAAGUGACAAGUGAAAUAUUAAAAGGUACCAAACUUGGUAGUUGCUUGUCUGUUUUUAUAUGCUAUCACAUAUCAAAAAAUCUACGUGAAAGAAAGUUAUUUAGGUUGAUAAGAGAAACACUUGAAAGUUAGGAAAUGCCAGAAUGAAGAAUGUUUAUGCAGCCUUACUUAACUUCCCAUGUGUAGGCAUUAUAAUACAGUCUUUGAUUACACGAGCACACUCUGCCUCAUUCAGUGCACAGGAUGGAUGGGGCUCAGAAAGUGAAUGAGGCAGUUUUCAAUGUUUCUUUUUACCCUGCCUUUAUGCAAUGUGUAAGGCCUUAUUUACUGCACAGCUUCCAAGCCCUGCAGUGCAUAUGGAAUUAUUAAUUGCUUUGUGGGCUUGCCUGUGGCACUCAUCACCAGGGUAUUUGAGCCUCACAAACAUUAAUGAAUUUACCUUCACAAUUUCCAGCUGAGAUAGCAGAGGUCUAUUAUUCCCAUUUUAUAAAUGGCCAACUGAGUAAAGUACAGAUAGAUUAAGGUUAAAAUUUACAAAAAGCUCCAUAACUUUUGGGCUAUUAGUGAUUGCACCCCAACUUGAGGCCUUGGGUUGAUUUUUCAAAGUAUUUUGCAUUUUUUAUAGUAUUUCAUAUGUUGAAAACAUGGUCCAGACAUUAACUAAUUAACACCAGAACAUCUCUGGCCACUAGGGGUGGGGAGAAUAUUAUUAUCCACAUUUUAUAGAUUGGGAAAGUGAGACAGAAAGAUGAAGUGACUUGAUCAGGGCCACAAGGUGAAUCAGUGGCAGAGACAGGACCUAUCUGACUCCAAGGCCUCUGCUCAUUAAGGCAGUAUAAUCUAUAGGAAUGGGGUACGUCUACACUAUGGGAUUAUUCCGAAUUUACAGAAACCGGUUUAGUAAAACAGAUUGUAUAAAAUCGAGUGCACGCGGCCACACUAAGCACAUUAAUUCAGUGGUGUGCGUCCA